rnacentral:rRNA from 1 species
UGACGGUACCUGACUAAGAAGCCCCGGCUAACUACGUGCCAGCAGCCGCGGUAAUACGUAGGGGGCAAGCGUUAUCCGGAUUUACUGGGUGUAAAGGGAGCGUAGACGGCUUAGCAAGUCUGAUGUGAAAGGCAGGGGCUCAACUCCUGGACUGCAUUGGAAACUGUUAAGCUGGAGUGCCGGAGAGGUAAGCGGAAUUCCUAGUGUAGCGGUGAAAUGCGUAGAUAUUAGGAGGAACACCAGUGGCGAAGGCGGCUUACUGGACGGUAACUGACGUUGAGGCUCGAAAGCGUGGGGAGCAAACAGGAUUAGAUACCCUG